rnacentral:tRNA from 1 species
AAGGGAGACCAAACUCAAUCCAAGACCGAAAAGCAAAUAUAGAGGUCUGGAAGGGGUCAUCCCAAGGUCGAGCAGAGAACCAAAAAACAAGUAAGCUCUCAAACUAUGAAAGGUUCGGAAAUGGGCUAUUAGCUCAGGUGGUUAGAGCGCACCCCUGAUAAGGGUGAGGUCCCUGGUUCGAGUCCAGGAUGGCCCACAUCUAGACCAAAACCGAAACAAAAAACCAAGUAAAAAUGGAAGUUCCAGCACUACUCGAUAGGAGAGUAAAUGCUGGGGUAAAAUCCAGCCCAGAACCUUGAAAACUGCAUAAGAAACAAGAAAGUGUAGAGAGUCCUGCUUUGCAGGAAUCUUAAAACAAGUUA